rnacentral:rRNA from 1 species
GUGGGGAAUAUUGGACAAUGGGCGCAAGCCUGAUCCAGCCAUGCCGCGUGAGUGAUGAAGGCCUUAGGGUUGUAAAGCUCUUUCGCCGACGAAGAUAAUGACGGUAGUCGGAGAAGAAGCCCCGGCUAACUUCGUGCCAGCAGCCGCGGUAAUACGAAGGGGGCUAGCGUUGUUCGGAAUCACUGGGCGUAAAGCGCACGUAGGCGGACAUUUAAGUCAGGGGUGAAAGCCUGGAGCUCAACUCCAGAACUGCCCUUGAUACUGGGUGUCUCGAGUCCGGAAGAGGUAAGUGGAACUGCGAGUGUAGAGGUGAAAUUCGUAGAUAUUCGCAAGAACACCAGUGGCGAAGGCGGCUUACUGGUCCGGUACUGACGCUGAGGUGCGAAAGCGUGGGGAGCAAACAGGAUUAGAUACCCUUGUAGUCC